GCCUUCGUGGUGUAACGGUAGCACACUUGGCGCCUAUUCGAGAGGUCCAGGUUCGAGUCCCGGCGAGGUCA
rnacentral:tRNA from 1 species